CCUACGGGAGGCAGCAGUGGGGAAUAUUGGACAAUGGGGGGAACCCUGAUCCAGCCAUGCCGCGUGUGUGAAGAAGGCCCUCGGGUUGUAAAGCACUUUCAGUGAGGAAGAACGCCUGGUGGUUAAUACCCAUCAGGAAAGACAUCACUCACAGAAGAAGCACCGGCUAACUCCGUGCCAGCAGCCGCGGCAAUACGGAGGGUGCGAGCGUUAAUCGGAAUUACUGGGCGUAAAGCGCGCGUAGGUGGCUUGAUAAGCCGGUUGUGAAAGCCCCGGGCUCAACCUGGGAACGGCAUCCGGAACUGUCAAGCUAGAGUGCAGGAGAGGAAGGUAGAAUUCCCGGUGUAGCGGUGAAAUGCGUAGAGAUCGGGAGGAAUACCAGUGGCGAAGGCGGCCUUCUGGACUGACACUGACACUGAGGUGCGAAAGCGUGGGUAGCAAACAGGAUUAGAUACCCGGGUAGUC
rnacentral:rRNA from 1 species